CGUACGCGGACAAUACAACCCUCUGCUUCUUGGAGUAUCUGGGCAUAGAUAAUGACAUAGAUGGAGACAAGUGUGAGUGAGCCACCAUGAGACUAAAAAGUAAAAGUGGCUUUUUCUCUAAACACGACGUUAAUGUCCAGAAAAGUUGAUUAGCUGAUCGGAAUGAAAUUUUCUUUACCAAAAGCAUCCUUGUAGGAAUUUAAUAUGUACCCACUAUCUGUCAUAAUUUACCAAACAUGUAACCAUAGCAACGGGGGGAUAACAACACAAGACGUCAAGACGAAACGACACUAAUUUCAAGAACGCCGCGUAAAUUCAUUUUAAAGAACCCCAUUUAGUCAAAAGAGUCAGUAUAUGUACUUCUCUGCAAGGCGAAAAGACGCCAGCCGCACUUGUAGUGUCGGUUAAUCACCCUUAGGCCAUUAGCAACAUCCUACAUCGUCUUUGCCCUAGGAACUGUGAGUGUAGCCGCCAGUUUAUGAACAACCGCACGCAGAGAAACAAGAAUUCCAGACCCCUGUGUCACUUCGGGGAAAAGACAUAAUGAGACGAUUUUGCGAAUUUGGUUGCAGGGUUCCAUCGCAGAGCCGUUCCAAGAAUGAGAUCCGAUAAGAUCCACCUAUUAAUUUGUGAUAUACAAGUUUGAUGACGGCCACGAUUACAAUAAUGAUUAUAAUUGGUAGUGGAUCGCAGAUAUAAGCUGAUUGCUAUGUCGGAUCAAGCCGCUGCUGACUAACCAACAGAGACGUUCCGAAGAAAUGAGCAAAAAUGCAAAACAUCGGCAAAUUUCUGUGGAAAUGUGAAAGUGUGCUUGCAUAGCAAUAAAUACCGAGUGUCUAUCUGUUUUCAACAGAUUUUUCAACAGUUUCACAGUUUUCAAUCGCAAUUUUUUUAAUAACUCGCGACGAUUAAUUAAACUCGCAGAAUCGCGCGUUAGAACAAUUGCGAACAAUUCCAUAAAAAAGUGGAAACUAUGAAAGUUGCUACACAAAUAGUACAAAGUUUUUUCUAUUCAAUAGUUCAAUCCAGUUUUCAGUCCACUUUGAAUUUUGAAAAUAUUGUGACACUAUAGUGGAAAAAUGACGCGAAAAAAGCUGCGAAAAAAGGGAAAAAAUACGCAAAUUUCCACACUUGUAGAGGAACAAUUCAUCUAUUGAAUAGGUUGAGACACUCUUGCAUUUUAUCAUUGACCUUGACCUGAAGUACAGCCCUCAUAGCGAUCGGCUUGCUUUUUGAAAGCAAUUUUACCGAAUUCGCUGUCGUAAUUUCUAUAAGCCUUUAUGUAAUAAAAUCAUUGUUGAUAACAACUGUGCUAUUCCACGAAAGUGCGCUAAAACAAUGCCAUAUGAUCGUACACCGGUUCCUGGAAGUGCUCGUCUGUAGAACAUUUGAUUAAUCCUUAUCCUAACAUUGUGAGCCCAAUAAACUUACAUCAUGUGAAACGAGACCUGUGGAAUCAGGAAUGCUUUGAUGUGCUUUAACUUAUGAAACUGAAGCAUUUACCAAAUACCAUUGGUUUAUUAAUUGAAUAUUGUUCAGGGCUUCUCCCAUAGCUGUAUUAUCAUCGGCAGUUGUAGUUCACCCAGCAUACUUUUCAGGGUUUAACUUAUAGAGUUUUUAUUUUUUCCUCCAAGUUCAAAACAUGAAUUGGUUUUUUUUUCUGAAUAUUAACUCUUGGCGACCAAAAUUCACGUUUUGUCUAUGGGCUAAAGGAACCCCUCCUUUUUCUUAGGCGAAUUAUAAAAAGACCGUUGCAACACUCAUCCUAAUAUUGAAAUUAAUACAAUAUCAACAAAUAUCAGGCAAGACAGUCAACGCAAACAAUAGAGUAUAGAUUCGUAUCAGAUUGGUCAGCCGUCGACCACGUUUCGAAGAAGUGAUUUAAAAGAGGCGUCCCAUUUUUCGAGAAAACUGUGCUUCGUAGAAUGUGGGACCGGUCUUCUUAGUGCUCUUUUUUCUUUGUAGCUUGAGGCCGAGCCCGGGCCGACCCUCAAAUCGCAAUGUAUAAGAGAAUGAUUAAGCACAGUUUUCUGGGAAAUGCCAACAGCGAAAAGUCUGCUGGAAGAAAACCUUCUACAUAAUGUGCAUCAGGUUCGUUAUUGUUUUAUUGCAUAUUCGAGCUAAUUUGUUUUUUGAAUAUGAAACGUUUGAAAAUAUUCAAUGACAAACUUAACCACAAUUCUUCAUUUCAAACUUUAACUAACGUCCAUCGUGUUCAAUGGAUUUCAUUGAAUUUUAAAGCUUUGUCAUCCCUCUAUCGACCUGCAGACCAGUACAUAAAAACAUGGACAAGUCGAAAAUUGUCGAACAUUUUUUCGAUUCAUUGGUCUGGCUAAAAUCG